rnacentral:rRNA from 1 species
GAUGCACGCUAGCUACAGGCUUAACACAUGCAAGUCGAGGGGCAGCAUUAGGUAGCAAUACUGAGAUGGCGACCGGCGCACGGGUGCGUAACGCGUAUCCAACCUUCCCGUUACUCAUGGAUAGCCUUCCGAAAGGGAGAUUAAUACAUGAUGGUGUUGAAAUUCCGCAUGUUAUUUCAACUAAAGAUUUAUCGGUAACGGAUGGGGAUGCGUGACAUUAGAUAGUAGGCGGGGUAACGGCCCACCUAGUCUACGAUGUCUAGGGGUUCUGAGAGGAAGGUCCCCCACACUGGAACUGAGACACGGUCCAGACUCCUACGGGAGGCAGCAGUGAGGAAUAUUGGUCAAUGGCCGGAAGGCUGAACCAGCCAAGUAGCGUGAAGGAUGAAGGUUCUAUGGAUUGUAAACUUCUUUUAUACGGGAAUAAAACCUCCCACGUGUGGGAGCUUGUAUGUACCGUAUGAAUAAGCAUCGGCUAACUCCGUGCCAGCCGCCGCUGUAAGAC